rnacentral:lncRNA from 1 species
CAAUACAAACAAUACAAACAAUACAAAUAAAGAUUAUAAUAAUAAUAAUAAUAAUAAGGAAGAAAAAGAAAAAAAAAUAAAUCUUGAACAAAGUAGUAACUGUAAUAAUAAAUAUAAAAGUUCUAAAUUUUUUAAUAAUAACGGGCAAUUUAAAUAUAAACAAUUAAACGAUGAAAAAAAUAUAUAUAAUAAAAGCUACUGUAGUACAUAUAAAUAUAUUAACGAACAAUCAAUACGUUUUUUAAAAAAAAAAAAAAAAUCUAAUUAUACAAAUAAAGAAAUAAAUUUAAAAAGAAUAUGUAUAAAGGAUAAAAAAUUAAAUGCACUUAUUUUGUAUAUUUAUGAUGAUAUUACUAAUUAUUCAAAAGACAAUGUAUAUAAUUAUUUAUCUAACAUUAUUUUAACAAAAACUUAUUUUAUUUUCCCAAAUUUAAAACAACAGUUAGAGUUGAUUUGUUCUCUUAAAAAAAAACAAGUACGUGUUUAUUCUCCCAAAAAUAUUGAUAAAAACAAAUCCACAUCUGUAAAUUCUUAUCCUGUUUAUGAUACAAACUAUAUUCAUAACAUUUCUGAUAAACAUAAUGGAAGAGAAAAAAAAAAUCACGAUUAUUUAUUUUUAUAUGGAAAUAUUUUUAUAACAAAACAUAGUAAUUUAAAAAUUUCAAUGAAUAAAAAUAAUGUAUUAUACACACAGGUAAACACACGGGCACAUACAAAAACAGAGACAAAAAAAAAACGAAAACACUUAUGACCGAUUUGAUUAAUAUAAAAAUGAAUAAUAAAAACAUUGACAGGAAUAAUAAUAAGAAUAUUAAUACAGUUGAAAAUAACUCUAUUAAUAACACUACCGGUUUUGUUAAGAUAUAUAAUAAUACCAAUACUGGUAGUGAUAGUAGUUGUAGUAGUAGUAGUAGUUGUAGCAGUAGUAGUAGUAGUAGUAGUAGUAGUAAUAGUAGUAGUCGCGAUAGUAGCAGCGGUGAUAAUGUGAAGAGACAACUUUCAGAGAAACGUUUAGGAACAUUCACAGUAGAUAAAAAUUUAAUAAAUCACCAAAAAAAAAAAAAAAAAAAAAAAAAAAAAAAAAAAAAAAAAAAAAAAAAAAAAAAAAAAAAAAAAAAAAAAAAAAAAAAAAAAAAAAAAAAAGAGGGGAGAGGAGAGGUAAACACUUAG